UUAUAUGACUUUGUGUAUUUCUACAGAGAAAAGGGAAGAUAGCCAUUAGAUAGAAGAGUGGACAUUAGUGACUCAUGCAUUUUGUCAUGGGUUCAAAUUCCAGGUCUCCAAGUGACAAGGUCUAAAAAAAUCUCAGAGUGGAACAGAUUGGAGUACAUAUCAUCAGAUGUCUUGAAGAUGUGCCAUGGAUAGAGCCUGUUCCUCUCAUCCUACAAACCCAGGAAGGCUUCCUGGAGGAAGUGACCUCCACAUCAGAGCCAGCUGUAACCCAAUCCUGCAGCAUCCUAUCUCCUGGAGGGGAAUGAAGAACCCUGACUCAGUGAGGCUGUGGAUUUGCUUCAUGGGCACCAAAGUUCUCCAUUUCCUUGGGGGCACUGCUGUUGUUCCAGCCAAUAGUGGGGAUGCUGCUGGUGGAGACCCGCCUUGAAGAGAUGUAGCAGGAAAGAGCAGUGGAAGGUCCACUGGGUGUCAUUUAGCAAUCGGCACAGGCAUGAACCCAUCGGAACUGGCU
rnacentral:lncRNA from 1 species